GACGUAGGGCGCGAGCGUUGUCCGGAAUCAUUGGGCGUAAAGAGCGUGUAGGCGGUCCGGUAAGUCCGCUGUGAAAGUCGGGGGCUCAACCCUCGAAUGCCGGUGGAUACUGUCGGGCUAGAGUGCGGAAGAGGCGAGUGGAAUUCCUGGUGUAGCGGUGAAAUGCGCAGAUAUCAGGAGGAACACCGGUGGCGAAGGCGGGUCUCUGGGCCGAAAUUGACGCUGAGGAGCGAAAGCGUGGGGAGCAAACAGG
rnacentral:rRNA from 1 species